rnacentral:lncRNA from 1 species
GGAAGAAGGAAGGCAUUCCGAAGGCUGAGAACUUGGAAGAAUGCAGGAUGUGGGUUCAGCCGUGAGGACUGGAGAGACCAGACUGGAAUUGUGGGAGAGAAAGUGGAAAGGCAGCUGAAGCAUUGAAAUGGGCAUCUUGGCUGGGCAUGGUGGCUCACACCUGGAAUCCCAGCACUUUGGGAGGCUGAGGCGGGCAGAUCACCUGAGGUCAGGAGUUUGAGACCAGCCUGCCCAACAUGGUGAAGCCCCGUGUCUACUAAAAAUACAGAAAAAUUAGUCGAGCGUGGUGGCACACGCCUGUAAUCCCAGCUACUUUGGAGGCUGAGGCAGAAGAACUGCUUGAACCCAGGAGCUGGAGGUUGCAGUGAGCCGAGAUCAUGCCAUUGUACUCCAGCCUGGGCAACAAGAAUGAAACUCUAUCUCAAAAAAAAAAAAAAAAAAGAAAAGAAGAAGAAGAAAAAAAGAAAGAAAUGGGCAUCUCUACUCUCAGGAACUAGAGAGAGAGGAAAGAGGACAGAAUCAUGCCUCAUGUGAUGGAGGAGAAGAAGUGGGCUUUGGGCUGCUGUGUUGGGCAAGAGACUAUGAUUCAUCUUCCUGCAUGGAUUGCCUUGAGUCAUGCUGUCCUCAUCAUUAGAAUGGAAAUACAUCUAAUGCUUCUAUCAUGAUGAAAUCUAAAAUAAGUCAAUAAGGAUGUUCUUUUGGUCAAAUUGAUGUCUUUGCCUGGGAUGCCCUUCCAUCUUAGUCGACCUAGACAAUAUUCUGCAUCUUUCAAGAAUCAUUUGGUGACUCAUAAAUCUAUAUCUCAAGCCCAGACCUCUGUCUUCAGGUCCUAGGUCAGGUAUCCCACUGCUCACUAAUCACAGCUACUGGAAUUCUUCUGGGGCAUCUUGACUCAUCAUGAGAUAUUCCUUCCAUGGCUCAACAAAGAGAAUGGGUUCCUCUUUUUUUGGCCUCCACUGUUCUUUGUGUAAGCUUCUCUAACACUGUCUGUAAUAGUUUAUUCGAGGUCUUUAUGUAAUCGUUUAUUCAAGGUCUUCAAAUACUGGGCACACAGACCACCCUCCCCCUUCUUCACUAUUGGAAACUUAUUACUAUGAUGAUAACAAUAACAGCUAUUGUUAAUAGUAUUAUUUGCUGAACUGGUAUGAGUAUGGUAGGCAGCUAAUGCCAACAGAUUGGAAGCUAUUGACCAGAUAAAACCUAUAAACCAUUCCUGCAAAUAGAAAUUUGUAUAUUCAUUUUAAUAAAUCAUGUUAAUUUCUCAUGGCACUUGUAGAUAAAUUAAUGAAUCCAUAAAUAAAUAAAUGUAUA